rnacentral:lncRNA from 1 species
AGUGAGACAUACCUUCUUGUGGCCGCCUCUUUGCUGUGUUCUCUGCUCAGUGUGCAUUCGUCAUGGCAGGUAUGGAAUAGACCGGCGAAAGGAAGGGAGUGACUUUUGUCCCCUUUCCUUUGUACCUCAAGAACUCUAUAUGAUGUAAGUCUUGGAUCUCCUGACUUCAUCCUGCUCUUUGUUUAGGGUCUUCCUCUUCCCGUUUUAACAUCAUCUCCUGUUCCACCCUAGGUCUUCUUUCUCUUUCUUCUUCCUGUUUUCACUCUAUCUUUCCUUGUUUACAGGUGAGGGCUGAUUUGGCAAAUCAGCGUGGCUAUGAUGUUGAUGGGGAGAGAGGGUAUAUCAGACACAGGCUGUCUUGAUGGAUGUAUCCUCAAAUCAUGAACAAACAUGGCCUUUUCUUCUAUGAAGUUGCUUCUUAUAAGGUGUUUGACCACAGUCAUGAGGAAAGAAACUAAUAGAAUAAAAGAAUUAGCUUAUUUACCUAUUGAUAUUAAAUAAUAUUCUAUAGAAUUAUGUAUUUUAACAUAAAAAUACCUAUAACUGUGUAUAUAUUUACCUAAGACAAACACGUGCUCUGAAUUCAAUCUCCCUGUACCUACGUUGUCACUAUCCACAACUCAUGUCUGCCAUGGAAAAACCUUCUGUGUGUGUGUGUGUGUGUGUGUGUGUGUGUGUCUGUCUGUCUGUCUGUCUGUCUGUAUAUCUAUGUGUUUGUGUGUGUGCCAGUAACAAGCCUUUUAAAGAUGUAUCUUCUCAACCUCCCCCCCCCAAACCAAAACAUUAUUCACAAAUAAAAGCAGCAAUUGUCAUAAAGGCUGCAAGGGGUAUCCAAGAAUAAACCUUGAGGCACACAUUUCACUCUCUGUACCCUAAUGAACCAUUUUGAACAUCAUGACAUUUCCAUAUUUCCAUU